rnacentral:lncRNA from 1 species
AGAUCAAGCUUGAGUCGACUCGAGAAUGUACCAACUAAAAUUUUUGCAUGUCAAGAUUUUUUUCUUCUAUUUUUUAGCUUAAGUCGACUCGAACUCAGUCUGAGUUAUUCUCGAGGUCCCCUUAACUAACUUUUUCUGAAUCUUUUUCAAAUUGAAAGGCACUUGAUUCCCAAACUUUUAAAUAAUCUUUUUCAUCUUAAUAUUAG